CGCUCCACCUGCCAGCCAAUAGCAAGCCCCAACUCACCUGGAGCCAAUCCCCGAAAGGAUACCGUCUACCUGCGGCCAAUCGCGGGCCGAGAACCGUUACCUGGCGGAGCAGGAUCUUCCCGGCCAAUCGAAAGCUAGAAAGGAAGCGAUUUCCUCUGCUUUAAAUGGAAACUGAUAUGUAAGAUAUGUCUACAAAGAUAAUUUCAGAGCAAGCUAGACUUUGAUCUCCUUGUCAUGUCAGUUUGAUGACUUCAGCUUGUUGGACUGGGAGAUAAAAGAUGGCAGAUCAUUGCAUUUUUGUCUUCUACUGAAUCAUCCUCAGUUUAAUAAAAAGUCAUACUGUUGCUGUUCACUACACCCAAACUUGAACACUUGUUGAUAUCCUUAUUAACGCGGCUAUUUUAAGGGUCUUACAGCUCACAGGGAACUGUUUUCUCAUCAAGUUGGACUCAGCAUAACCAAGAGACAAACAUGAGUUUUCUCUCAUCUUCUUCAUUCAUCUGCCUAAAAUCUGAAAGAGACAAGCUAUUUUUUCUAUUGAAGUAAUGGCAUUGAAAUCACUGGAUCCAGUGGGAGCAAGUAUGGGCCAAAUGCGUCUGAGUUUGGAUUAAAAAAAAUAUAAGUCAAAUCAUUAAUAUGUUUUAACAUACUCUGGAGUAAAGCAUAUAUCCUACAUACCAUCAGAAAUCACCAUGGUAGUUCCUUACUGAUUUCCGUGCUGGGUUGCAUAUUAGUGGUUUUCUAGCCUGUCUUAAUAUAGAGAAAAUGAAUAAUGUUUCAAGACUAUUUUAAGACAACAUGUCCUUUAUUUGUGGUUUUUAUGGAAGAUAGAAGCACACAGAAGCUAAUUUACUUUUGUUGGCACCACAUUAGCCUGGAGGAUAAAGGAGAAUUCUAUGCGUAGCCCAAGCUACACACAUUUAAAAACACAAAACCAAACCUCUAUGCUUCUGUGUUUAUUUUUCCAGGAUAUUUAAGCAACCUGUCCUGUGAAAACACAUUUUUUGCCCAUUUUCCUUUUGUGUAUGUACAUCAGCAGACAAUACGCUGGAAACCAUAGAGACUCCUUUCUUCUUGCUGCCUAACCUGAUCCUAAUCCUUUAGAAAGCAAUGAUUCCACUUCUGAAAGGUAACAGUGAAAGAAACUGGAGAAGAAAGGAAACUGAUGUUUCUGCAACUGAAGACAUGUAACUGUCAUUUCAGAGGAUGGAAGAAAAUGGUGAAAAUUUUAAACAAAAAAGGACGACCCUGGGGGUCAAGUAUUCACCUUGGAUUCUCGAGUAUCUUAAUUUUAUUGCUUUCCCUUAACCGGACUUAAUUACACUUCUCUGAAUUCUCAUUAUUCUCAGCUAGCAUUGAGUUUGAAUGAAACACAGGCAUUCUUAAUUCAAAAUAUUCCAAAUCCUGAAAGUGCCUGAUGAGUCCUUCACUAAGCAUAAACAAAAACACCACUGGUGCAGUCUGAAGAUACUCAUAACCAACAUAUUAAAUGUUUCUUCUUUAUAAAGUAUAGGUUCAAUUGUAAAAUACUAUAUGCGCUGUAGUUUAUAAACAAUAUGUAGAAUCCUCCUGGCUUUUACAUGUAGAAUCUCAUCUAUGUAUAUAUAUUAGUUGCACACACACCCUGGAAAGAUGAGGGUAGGAUAAUCCUAAAUAGAUGCCUGUAAAAAUGUGGUAAGUUUAAGAGGUACAGAAAUAGAUCUUUUGUGUUUGGCUAACUCUAAAAGAAAUGUAACAAUAAAGGAAGAGCAGUCUGGAUGGAGUAUGGUGCCAGAUGUUUUACAGAUUACGUUGUAUUUCAUCACUCAAUCUUUAUUUAAUCUUAAAAGACUGUGGUAGUUCUAAUACUGGAAUAGCCCAACGGCCUAUAUGUUGGCUUGCUACAUCCUUGCCUGUUCCACACAUUUCCCCCUUAAAGCUGGUCACUUUUUUUUUUUAUAGUUUAAAGAAAAACAUCCUCUUCACCCCCAUCUAGUAACCCAAUGCAUGAAUAUUCAGGGCUUUGUGAUAUUUGUGCUAGCAAAGGUAAUCCCCAGUGCUCUUCUUUUUUUCCAAUUACUUAUCCAGUAAGCAACUAAUGCAAGCCUGUACUUGUUAGCAAUUUACGUUACCCAGUGGCUAUGUUAAAGGUGUUUGGGCCAAAAUUAUGAUCUUCAGAAGAAUUUGUUUAGGAGCGUGGAGAUUUUUUGAAGAAUGCUGUAAACUGCCUUUUUGUCUUUAUUGCAUAUACGUAGUUACACAGCGUGCAGUGCAAGAGAAAGAAAUGGGAAGAGAGUGUGUGUUUGUGUGGGAAUGUGCUGGUCAAUUUAUGAAAUUACUGCAGGGUUGAAUCUCUUUAAGGUAAUAAUAUCUGGAAGGUACAAAGUUUUGUACAUUGAGACUUAAAAGUUCUGUAUGGAUUUGUGUUUUUCAUACAUGCAUAAAGAGAUUAGAGUGGUCUUGCCUAAUAUGUCUAAUGUCAAAGAGAAUUAAAAUUGUCACUCUUUUCCAAAGUAUGACAUACUUUUCAAGACCUACAAAUAUAAAAACAUUUUUCUUUGCUUUGUAAUAGUGUCUGACUUUACCCCACUUGAGAACACCGAGAACAAUGUAAGUGCCAAGCAUUCCUGAUCUCAGCAGGAGACGCACAUGGUCCAUGACAGACGUUAUAGCGAGAGAGAUAGGAUUCUGGGCUAGAGAGGUCUUUGGUUCAGCAGAAUUAGUCCGUCCCACACAUUGGUUGGUCCUGGAUCUAGAAUGAUCAGAAGAGUUCUGAGAUAGCUCAGCGAUCAGGGCUAUUUGGAUGGCUUGUUUUGGACCAGCAUUUUGCUGAGCAGUGAACUCCAUUAACAGCUGAUUAGUUCUGUUGGUGCUAUGUUUUCUGACAGACUGGGCUUGACUGUCUUCUCAGAUUUGUUUUUGCUGUGCACAAGUUAGUAGAAGGAAUAGGCACGAUUGAAAGCUGGUGUAAGGAGAGAACAGAUCCCUAAUGCAUUAUGUAACGAUGAGCUUAGGUCUUCAAAUUCAUUUCAUUUAAGACACUAGCUAUAAAGGCAGAAAGACGGUGUCAUGCAUUUCAGCUACCAAAUCCAUCCACAUAGAUACAUUCACUGCCAAAUUUUUAUUCGGUCUUCAUCAAGAGGAAUUAGCUAUAUAUGUUUGUAACAUAUACUGGACACAGAAUUAUUAUUACAUCAAACAAGCUUUCAACCAUGGCAAGUGUUUUGAGCCACUGUAAUAAAGAGGGCAUGAGGGGAGUUCCUUUAGAUUUUUUUAAAAAGAAAAUAAGCUUUGUUAUCUAUUCUGCUCCGGAGAGAAAUAUGCAGGGGGUGCUGUUUUCCUCCUAAUUGGGAAGUGCUUUCUUAGGUUAAUGACUCUGAGUAUUUAAAAUCAGCAAUCGUAUUAAGUGUUUGGUUGUACCGACAGUAGAAGCCUCAUUGAGUUAAAUUGGUUUCGCUACAUUAUCUGUUGGAUUAGCAAACCUGAGAAGAACUAUGUGAGAGCUUUAACUUGGAUAAAUGCUUGCCUUUUUGCCCAGAAACAGGACAGACAUAUCUGUACAUUGACCUUUUAAUGGUGCCAUCACUGCAAGCAUUGCUUUCCAACAAAUCACUCAACGUCUUGCUCUUCAUCUUGUGCUUUCUGAUUCUUUUCAACCUCUUGAGGCAGCAACAGCUAUUUUUUGUAACAUAAAUACAGUAGUCUGCGUAAGUGCCCCCCAGAAAGCACUCAUGAAUACAGAAUGGUACUUUCUUUUCUGUUGUCAAGGCCAAAUUAGAGUUUUAUGAACCCUUGGGCACUGAAAAGGCAAAGCUUCAUUAUGGGAUGAAAUCUCUGAGGUUAUUUUGAUUUUCCUUAUAAUGUCUUUUAUCUUUCGGUUCAACAGUUGGAACAUCUAUUUUGUCUGCUUAUAGAAGCUACAAUUUCCUUAUAAUCUACACUUUAUUAACACUUCACAUUUAGAAUGAUCACAUUAAUACAUAUCCCACUUUCUUUGUCACAGACACACCAGUCCAUAGAGCAGUACUCUAGUGUGCUGAAAGGAACACAAAUACUCUCAGGUACAGCACAGAAACAAUUCCUUCUAUGUAUUUUUUUUUCCUCCUUGACAUUAGUACAACCUAUUCAAAGCUUGGAUAGCCUUCAGUUGAUGUCAGAUUUAAGUUAAGUAUACCAUAAAGUUAGAAUUGAUUAGGGUAUUCUCUUUGGAUGUUAACACUGCAUUAUGGCUUUUAAAUUAAAACAAAACAAAAAAGACAAAACACUUCCAAAAGUACAGAAGCUUCAGGUUUGUGCAAAACUCCAAUCAUUACAGAAUACUCCUAUACUGAAGGUCCUCCUUAGAAGAGUUUGUCUGACUUUCGUAUCUCCGGGUUUGGUAACACGUUUUUAAAAAUGCCACUCUUCACAAUGGAGGUGUUUUGUGCUACUCAUGCGAGUGCAGUAACGGGAGCUGAAACACCUGUUCUCCUCUCUGAGUCACCUCAUUCCUGGAAUGGACACAACUGCCAUAUGUAUGCUCACAUUCUGGCUUUCUGAAAUAUUCUGAGAUAUAUAUAUAUAUAUUUUUAGGUGACUGCCUAGCAUACUAGCUUUGGUUUUGGGGUGGUGUUGUUGUUGUUGUUGUUGCUGGUGGUGGCGUUUUCUUUGAGGGAACGAUUGCUGCCACCUUGUACUUUGAUCAAUCGCAACCGAGCUGUGCACCUUGAAGAUCUGCAAUCAACCUGCAGAAAAAUUCUUUGAAUAUAUCUUUUGAAGAAGUCAGCAGGGCACGCAGCCUGUGACUGUCUCCCAGAUGGAGAAGCAACUAAUUUUGUCCAAUAACCCCGUGUGAUUAACUCACUUGGCUUCAAGGUAAGGAGUGAUGUCAGGUGCACAAUUACAAACUAUUACUGCUGAAGUAAUUAGAUUAGACAUUGCCUUUAUAAUAUAUGCAGCCGCCUUCUCACUAAUUACUCUAAAUAACCAGCCAUUGUACUCUAGAGGGACCAGGUCGCUGCUUUUUUCACUGUUUUUCAAUAACUUCAAUCCCAGAAACAUGGAUUACUUUCUUAUGAUUUACAUUCCUCAGGAAGUUGCUACAAGUAUUUCCUCUGCUGGAUUUAGCCAACAAUUUCACUUGUAGCAGCAGUUCCUGACCCCAAAAGGCAAUGAAUUAAGCUAAUAGCUAGACAAACCCGCAGGAUACAAAAAGGUCAGACUCUGCAUUCACAGCAGUAGUUAUCUACUGGUAUUAAAAAAGGAUAUUUCUGAUUUAUGCAAGUAUAAUAGAGGAGUAAAGCACUACGACCUUUCUAAAGCAUGCUGUUGCGAUAUGGUUCAAAGUGCUGAGUAGAAUGUUUCAGAUGUGCCUAUCACAUUGCCUUGCCUAUGAAAGUGCACAGUUAAGCUUCCUUUGCUUCGGAGACCAAACAAAUAGGUCAGGUGUAAAUUGAAACAGCUCAGUUCCAGUGGAAAGGAGGCAUAGACAGGGGAGGCAAGAUAAGUCAAGGACUUGACCCGUGAUCAUGGAAAAAGCAACAGCUUAGUAAGGAGAAGCCAUUAUAAAAUCAUGCUUCUGCUGUUUGCAUCCCACUCUCUACUUAAUCAUAAACCAGUAAGAAUGAUUGAGAAGAGAACAGAAGGGGUUGCAGCUCCAGCUGUUGAAUUUCAUUUGGAAGAAAGGGAUCUUGACCAAAAAUGAACUUAGAAAACAAAAUGGUGCAUUUCUGUAAUUUAACAUUUCAACAUCCAGAACAGAAAAAAUAAAAUAGAAGGAUGAUAAGCUGAGGGAAGAAUAGAACCCUGAUCACCUUAAUUCAUUAAAGCUUUCUGGAUAAGAUGAAAAUUGGGUAUACCUCGCCUUAACUCAGUAUGUGAGACUCAGUGACUAUGGUAAAUAGCACCACACAAGUACUGUUGGGAUGCACCUACCUAGUUGGAGGAUAACAGUUUCUGUGUCUCCUGAAAGGUUUUUUUCUGCCGUAAAACUCAAAGAUUUAGGAAAGAACUCAGUAUGGUUAUAUAUCAAUUCUGCAGAUGAUGCAGUGAAAUGACUUAAGUAAGGUUCCCAACAAGCCAGUGGCCAGAGCUUGGAGCAGAAUCCAAGUGUCUCAGACCAGGGCUAGACUGGUAAGAACUUUGUGGAAGAAUGAUAGCUUGAUGUCAGUUUGUGCCUUCCAGCACACAGUUGGCAGGAAGUUUUUCCAUUAUAGCAGAAACUAACAAUCCUAACGGUGAACCUAAGCCUGACUUACGAUGGGAGCAUAUUUUCUAUUACAGCUCAGUUCAGGAUCAUUAAUUUUUUUUCAGAGCAUUCUCUUUACUUCAGUGAUGUUGAACAAAUCUCAUUUUAAGUUAUAAAUCUGUGUUAAAAUCCUCUUUCAGUUCUGGUCAUGUGAAAUUCGACCACAUGUCACAAAUACAUGUAAGGCAGGAGGAAUGAGCGCACUGCGCUGUGAUCAAACGCUUGUUUCCUCCUCAAUGCAAUCGCAACUAUUGCUCAGCAGCCACUGCAUUCAAGAUACCCAUCUUCAAAGCCCAGUACAGCUCUUCUCGUAUCUACAUCUUUUGUCUUGUGUAAUCUUGCACCUCCCCAUGCUCCCUUCUUUCAGCCACUGCCUUAGUUUCUCCCUCCUACCCUCCCUCUCUAGUUUCAUGUGUUCUGUUGUGUCAAUCCCUACAUUUGAAACAACCUUUUUCAAAGCAUCAAAAUCCUCAAAAAUACAUUUUCCUUAUGAAGUGUCUUAUAUCGGUUUCCUAUACUGAAAAUAUUUUGGUUGUUUUAAUCCAUAUCCCAGUAUAUUUACUGUGUUGUUUUUUUUUAGAGGUUAAUUAUGAAGCUUGUAUUUGUUAUGUAUAGUGUGUUCAUUUGCUGAGAUCACUGGAAUUAUUUACAGAACAAAGGGUUACUUUGCAUGAGUUAGGUGACUUGAUCUAGUCUUGCAUUAAGGAGCGUGUAUGAGUACCCAUAAAUUUCAUUGUCAAGUAAUAUGAAGAGGCCUAACAUAGUAUAUUAGGUCAGCCUCUGAAUAAAAAUGGCAAAAAUAUUCAAAGCGACUGAGUAACUUGAAGCCAUUUAUGACGUUUUUGAACUUUACUCAGCUACUUAGGGCCAGAUGCAAAAAGGAGAUUUUCAGAGGCGCAUACAGCAGACUGUCCCUGGAAACUAACAGCAAAUUCUCAAGUCCUUCCCGAAAUCAGAGUCUGAGUUCUUUCAUUACCAAGCACCUUUGAAAUUCUCCGCAAUCCAAC